CUUAUGACCUGGGCUACACACGUGCUACAAUGGACGGUACAACGAGUUGCGAGACCGCGAGGUCAAGCUAAUCUCUUAAAGCCAUUCUCAGUUCGGACUGUAGGCUGCAACUCGCCUACACGAAGUCGGAAUCGCUAGUAAUCGCGGAUCAGCACGCCGCGGUGAAUACGUUCCCGGGCCUUGUACACACCGCCCGUCACACCAU
rnacentral:rRNA from 1 species